rnacentral:rRNA from 1 species
CCUACGGGCGGCAGCAGUGGGGAAUAUUGCACAAUGGGGGAAACCCUGAUGCAGCGACGCCGCGUGAGUGAAGAAGUAUUUCGGUAUGUAAAGCUCUAUCAGCAGGGAAGAAAAUGACGGUACCUGAUUAAGAAGCCCCGGCUAACUACGUGCCAGCAGCCGCGGUAAUACGUAGGGGGCAAGCGUUAUCCGGAUUUACUGGGUGUAAAGGGAGCGUAGACGGCAGCACAAGUCUGGAGUGAAAUGCCGGGGCUUAACCCCGGAACUGCUUUGGAAACUGUGCAGCUAGAGUGCAGGAGAGGUAAGUGGAAUUCCUAGUGUAGCGGUGGAAUGCGUAGAUAUUAGGAGGAACACCAGUGGCGAAGGCGGCUUACUGGACUGUAACUGACGUUGAGGCUCGAAAGCGUGGGGAGCAAACAGGAUUAGAUACCCGGGUAGUC